rnacentral:tRNA from 1 species
GCUGAUAUGGCUCAAGUUGGUAGAGCGCACCCUUGGUAAGGGUGAGGUCCCCCAGUUCGACUCUGGGUAUCAGCACCA